CCUACGGGGUGCAGCAGUGGGGAAUAUUGCACAAUGGGCGCAAGCCUGAUGCAGCCAUGCCGCGUGUAUGAAGAAGGCCUUCGGGUUGUAAAGUACUUUCAGCGAGGAGGAAGGCGAAAGGUUAAUAACCUUGUCGAUUGACGUUACUCGCAGAAGAAGCACCGGCUAACUCCGUGCCAGCAGCCGCGGUAAUACGGAGGGUGCAAGCGUUAAUCGGAAUUACUGGGCGUAAAGCGCACGCAGGCGGUCUGUCAAGUCGGAUGUGAAAUCCCCGGGCUCAACCUGGGAACUGCAUUCGAAACUGGCAGGCUAGAGUCUUGUAGAGGGGGGUAGAAUUCCAGGUGUAGCGGUGAAGUGCGUAGAGAUCUGGAGGAAUACCGGUGGCGAAGGCGGCCCCCUGGACAAAGACUGACGCUCAGGUGCGAAAGCGUGGGGAGCAAACAGGAUUAGAUACCCUAGUAGUC
rnacentral:rRNA from 1 species